CAGCCGCCACGGGAAUACGUAGGGUGCAAGCGUUAAUCGGAAUUACUGGGCGUAAAGCGUGCGCAGGCGGUUUGUUAAGACAGAUGUGAAAUCCCCGGGCUCAACCUGGGAACUGCAUUUGUGACUGGCAAGCUAGAGUCUGGCAGAGGGGGGUGGAAUUCCGCGUGUAGCAGUGAAAUGCGUAGAUAUGCGGAGGAACACCGAUGGCGAAGGCAGCCCCCUGGGCCAACACUGACGCUCAUGCACGAAAGCGUGGGGAGCAAACAGGAUUAGAUACCCCGGUAGUCCCUGUCUCUUAUAC
rnacentral:rRNA from 1 species